rnacentral:lncRNA from 1 species
CCGUGAAGAUAGCUCAUAAUGGGGCAGGGAACUGCAGGAGAAGAGUAAACUUAGCAUGUACAGCUGCUCUCAAGAAACUCUUUUUGGGGCCAGCCAGUGAGGCUUCCAGACGGUGUGGAAGCAAGCAGAUGGGGCUUGCGUCUUGGCUAAGUGCCCGUGGGCAGGUCAUUCAACCUUGCCAAGCUCGUUUACUCAUUCAUAAAAGGACCCAAACCUGGAAUAAAAUUACUUUGCAAGCACUUGGCUGGAGCGAGCAGACACAGUGGGGGCUAGACACAUGUCACGUGUUGAGGAUAACUAUUCUGUCUGCUUAAGUAAAGACCCCACCGACACUGGGCUUCCUGAUCCAGCUGCUCUGGAGGGCUGCGGAGGCUGUACCUUUAAGCCACUCCAGGCCACCUGGCGCUACAUGAGCUGCGCAGGGCUUGGGCAGCCUGUCUGUCCUUCCUUCUGCAUUGACUCGGCACACCAUACCCUUUCCAGGAGGCCUGACCACAAGGCACCUCUUGGGAUAUACUUGCUGUUCUCUUCUCCUUUUCCCUUCCUACCCAUAUGCACCGCACCGCACCCUUUCAAAGCCUGGUCUGUCAUCCUGAGCGUGGGUCCUUAUCUACCUUCCUCCUGCUCACAAAGUUGGCAAUUCUGUCUUAUCAGUUCAGCAAAAUAAUAAUAAUCAUAAUAAUGGCUAAUAUUUGUUCACUGUUUCCCCUGUGCCAGGCACUGUGCUAGCUCUUAAUGUAUAUUAAUUCAUCUAGACCUUACAAUGACGACUGAGACCCCACUUCACAGGUGAGGAAACCCAGGCUUGGCAGCUGGUUUGGUGUCCUUUAGCUCCUGCUGCCUGGGUUAAUUUCCUGGGAAUUUCAUGAGCCCCAGGACCUGCCUUGUCCAGGCAUCUGUGUGCCUGGGAGAAGAACCUGGGCUCACAAAGGUCCACUUGGGGAGGCCAGAUUGAAGUAGGGCGCAGUGUUCCAGACAACCUGGGGGCCUACCCUGUCCAUUCGAGGCUGUUCCUCCCUGGCUUCCAAAUUCCAGACAGAAUCAGUUUGCUGCUGCCGGUUCUGCCACAUUGGAUGCCUUCAGCAAAACAUCCAUCCACUCACGUGUCUCUCCAUUGAGUCUCCCAUCAUCUGGAGCACUAACUAUGUGCUGGGCACAGGGGAAAUGGAGAUAGGAUUAAGCCAGUGCCUGGCUCCAAGGGAGUCCGGGUGAUGAAGACAGUGACAUCACAAUGUGCUCAGUGCUUCGGGAUCUCAGAUGGGCCCCUGACCCAACCUGGGAGCAGUCAGGGAAGUCUUCCAAGAAAAGUGAGGUUCAAGGAAAGUGGUAGCAGGAACGUUGCUCCUGGAAGAAGACACAGCAAGCGUGAAGGCUGGGAAUUU